AUCCCCUAGUAACUGCGAGUGAAGCGGGAAAAGCUCAAAUUUAAAAUCUGGUGGUCUUUGGCCAUCCGAGUUGUAAUCUAGAGAAGUGUUAUCCGCGCUGGACCGUGUACAAGUCUCCUGGAAUGGAGCGUCAUAGAGGGUGAGAAUCCCGUCUUUGACACGGACUGCCAGGGCUUUGUGAUGCGCUCUCAAAGAGUCGAGUUGUUUGGGAAUGCAGCUCAAAAUGGGUGGUAAAUUCCAUCUAAAGCUAAAUAUUGGCGAGAGACCGAUAGCGAACAAGUACCGUGAGGGAAAGAUGAAAAGAACUUUGGAAAGAGAGUUAAACAGUACGUGAAAUUGCUGAAAGGGAAACGCUUGAAGUCAGUCGCGUUGUUUGGGGAUCAACCUUGCUUUUGCUGGGUGUACUUUCCAGAUGACGGGUCAGCAUCAAUUUUGACCGUUGGAUAAAGUCUGGGGGAAUGUGGCAUCUUCGGAUGUGUUAUAGCCUCUAGUUGUAUACAACGGUUGGGAUUGAGGAACUCAGCACGCCGCAAGGCCGGGUACUUGUACUACGUUCGUGCUUAGGAUGCUGGCAUAAUGGCUUUAAUCGACCCGUCUUGAAACACGGACCAAGGAGUCUAACAUGCCUGCGAGUAUUUGGGUGGAAAACCCGAGUGCGCAAUGAAAGUGAAAGUUGAGAUCCCUGUCAUGGGGAGCAUCGACGCCCGGACCAGACCUUUUGUGACGGAUCUGCGGUAGAGCAUGUAUGUUGGGACCCGAAAGAUGGUGAACUAUGCCUGAAUAGGGUGAAGCCAGAGGAAACUCUGGUGGAGGCUCGUAGCGAUUCUGACGUGCAAAUCGAUCGUCAAAUUUGGGGUAUAGGGGCGAAAGACUAAUCGAACCAUCUAGUAGCUGGUUCCUGCCGA
rnacentral:rRNA from 1 species